GUUGACAGUUGUUACCCGUUUCGCCCGUUACAGCCCGGCCCGCAUCAGUUACGCCAGGUAUUCAAAAUCUUCAGGCAUUAGUGGUGUUUAGUUUGUAAAGAUAUGAAAUCUUACCUUCGGGCUCGCGCUUGCUGGUGAAUGUCCAGAACGAUUGUGCUGCGAUGGGUGGCAAUUAUUCAGUAAUACUACGCCACCUGAUGAAAACCUUCAGUUCGACUACGCCCUACGUCCUACACAACCGUAAAAUCCUAAAACAUCCUGCGAACCGCGAAAGUGUGGGUGUCUCAGUCUGUGUAAGAUUUCUUACCUAAUGCGGAUCUCAAUCUCAUCGGUACGCAAGUACUCAAUUAAACCAAGUGGCGGGCAAAAGGCCGGCAUCCGGAGCCUAGUAAUAGCGUGCUGCAGUAUCGGUUAAUGUACAAAAUAAUAGCGCUUACUGAGCCUUAUUCUCACAAUAAAGUUCAAAGCGUGUACAAACCUUUUUGACACACCGGGCUGUCCGCUAUCGCUGAUGCGAGCUUCGUGAUCAGAAAUUAGUUGUGAAAUCUAUGAUUAUGUUGGUCCAGGAAAUGCCCUAUUUUAUACCUUGCACACUUGUGACCUCGCUGAGAACAAAACU